rnacentral:rRNA from 1 species
GACGAACGCUGGCGGCGUGCUUAACACAUGCAAGUCGAACGAAGAGCGAUGGAAGCUUGCUUCUAUCAAUCUUAGUGGCGAACGGGUGAGUAACGCGUAAUCAACCUGCCCUUCAGAGGGGGACAACAGUUGGAAACGACUGCUAAUACCGCAUACGAUCUAACCUCGGCAUCGAGGAUGGAUGAAAGGUGGCCUCUAUGUAUAAGCUAUCACUGAAGGAGGGGAUUGCGUCUGAUUAGCUAGUUGGAGGGGUAACGGCCCACCAAGGCGAUGAUUAGUAGCCGGUCUGAGAGGAUGAACGGCCACAUUGGGACUGAGACACGGCCCAGACUCCUACGGGAGGCAGCAGUGGGGAAUCUUCCGCAAUGGACGAAAGUCUGACGGAGCAACGCCGCGUGAGUGAUGACGGCCUUCGGGUUGUAAAGCUCUGUUAAUCGGGACGAAAGGCCUUCUUGCGAAUAGUUAGAAGGAU